AUGAUGAUAGGGUUAAGAUUUUUACAACAAUCUUUACAAACCACAAUCAUACAUGAAGAGGGGGUAACAUUUAUUCCUUAUCAAAAUAAUGUUCCAUACAUAUCUGAAGUGCGAAAACAAAGAAAGUCCUUACAAAAUGUAGAAAUAUCUAAUUUAGAUGAUGAAUAUAGCACAAGUCCAGAUCCCCUUGAAUUCUGUAAAGACGAAGAACUUAGUGAGACCAUAGAAGAAUAUCAUAUAGAAAAUACAUGUACUGAAUGCAUUGGGUUGCAAUCAUUCUCUCCAAAUUGGUAUAGAGAUAUAAAAUCUAAAAAGGAUAUAGAUAAGAUUGUGCAAAGACUAGAAAGUAUACAAAUUAUUGGAGAAAUACCAAUGAAACAUUGGGAUAAGAACUCUAUAGUUUGCAAAAUAAAUAUCAUAAAUCCAGAUUAUAUAAUUAAGUCAGCACCAAUAGAAGCAACUCCUAAAGAUAUCGAAGAGUUCAAAAUGCAUAUUGAAGAGUUAUUAAAGUUAAAAGCUAUAAGAGAAAGCAGAAGCCCUCAUCGAUCUGCUGCUUUUAUAGUUAGAAAUCAUGCUGAAGAAGUUAGAGGUAAAUCUAGAAUGGUAAUUAACUUUAAAAGGCUUAAUGAUAAUACAGUUGACGAUGCAUACAACAUACCUAAUAAGCAGGAAUGGAUUAACAGAAUACAAGGAAGUAAAUAUUUCUCCAAAUUCGAUUUAAAGGCAGGAUUUUGGCAAGUAAAAAUGGCUGAAGAAUCUAUUCCAUGGACAGCAUUUACUUGUCCACAAGGCCAUUAUGAAUGGCUAGUAAUGCCAUUAGGCCUAAAGAAUGCACCUGCACUAUUUCAAAGAAAGAUGCAAAAUAUAUUUAAUGAGAAUCAAGCAUUUAUAUUAGUAUACGUAGAUGAUUUGUUAGUAUUCUCAAAAUCAUACAAAGAGCAUAUAGCCCAUCUUGAAGUGUUCUUUCGAAAGGUAGAACAAAAUGGGCUCAUACUAUCUAAAAAGAAGAUGGAGAUUUGCAAAGAGAAAAUAAAUUUCCUCGGUCAUGAAAUAGGAGAAGGAAAAAUAUAUCUACAAGAACAUAUUGCAAAGAAAAUAUUAGAGUUUCCUGAUAAUAUGAGUGAUAAAAAGGUUUUACAACAGUUCUUAGGAAUUGUAAACUAUGCGCGAAACUAUAUAGAUAACUUAGCAAAGCUAGCAGGACCUUUAUAUGCUAAAUUAAGAAAAAAUGGUCAAAGAUACUUCAAUUCUGAAGACAUAAAAUUAGUAAAGGCCAUCAAGGAAAAGGUCAGGAAUUUAAAACCCCUAGAAUUGCCUCUAGAAGACAAUUAUUUUAUAAUUGAGACAGAUGCAUCUAAGGUAGGAUGGGGUGCGAUACUAAAACGAAAGCCCAAUAAAUACUCUCCAAAGGAAGACGAAAAAAUAUGCAGAUAUGCUUCAGGAAGUUACAAAUUAAAGACGGUAAAUAAUAUUGAUAGAGAAAUUCUUGCAGUUGUAAAUGCAAUAAAUGCAUUUAGGUUAUAUCUAGGAUUUAAAGAAUUUACAGUACGAACAGACUGUGAAGCCAUAUGCCGAUAUUACAAUAAAAUUAAUAUUAAGAAAAGCUCAACCAGAAGAUGGGUCUUAUUUGAAGACACCAUAGCUAGGAAUGGUUAUAAAGUUAUUUUGAGCAUAUUAAGGGGAAGGAUAAUACCUUACCUGACAUAUUUUCUCGUGCAUCAAAUUUGCAGGAAUGAGGAAAGAAUUAUUCGCCAACAAGGAUGA
rnacentral:rRNA from 1 species